rnacentral:rRNA from 1 species
UGGGGAAUAUUGGACAAUGGGGGCGACCCUGAUCCAGCCAUGCCGCGUGAGUGAUGAAGGCCUUCGGGUUGUAAAGCUCUUUUGGCGGGGACGAUGAUGACGGUACCCGCAGAAUAAGCCCCGGCUAACUUCGUGCCAGCAGCCGCGGUAAUACGGAGGGGGCUAGCGUUGUUCGGAAUUACUGGGCGUAAAGCGCACGUAGGCGGCUUUGCAAGUUAGAGGUGAAAGCCCAGGGCUCAACCCUGGAAUUGCCUUUAAAACUGCAUCGCUAGAAUUGUGGAGAGGUAAGUGGAAUUCCGAGUGUAGAGGUGAAAUUCGUAGAUAUUCGGAAGAACACCAGUGGCGAAGGCGACUUACUGGACACAUAUUGACGCUGAGGUGCGAAAGCGUGGGGAGCAAAC